GCAUUGCAGGAUAUUUGGUUAUUGGGAAAUCUUCACAUUAAUCCAAAACUCCUUCUCAGCUCUCUAACUCUAUCAUGGAAGGUAUCUCCUCAUUGGUCACUUUAUCUCCACUGAUAUUGAUCUUGCUCCGUCUAUUUACAGACCUACCAGCAUGUCAUUGUGAAAAGGGAGGACUGUGGGGAAUGCAGUGCAACCCCUCCCACCCUCUCCAACCACACUUAAUGCUUUUUCUUACGGGGAUCAAUGAAUUUAAAUCAUCACAGGAACAAGUGGCAUAUAUUUCAUUUCAGAUUUAAUCUCCCUGGCUCCUCACUCCUGUUCCUGGGAUCACAUGCCACCUUUCUCCAUGAGGACACAACACAUUCAUUCAUGAUGUGAAAUCUUUAGAUGACUGAGCACAUGCCAAGCACUAGCACAUGCUUAGGUACCACAGCCUAACCAGGAGGAAAACAGGCAAAUCACAAUUGAGGGACAUUCUACAAGAUACCUGACCAGUAAUCCUUAAAACUGUCAAGGCUUCAAAAACAAGGAAAGCCUGAGAAGCUGUCACAGCCAAGAGGAGCCUAAGGAGAAUGGACAACUACAAGUAAUGUGGUAUCCUGGAUGGAAUCUUGGAACAGAAAAAAGGACAUUUUGGUAAAAACCCAGGAGAAGAGUGAAGAAGAAAUGAGAAUAAAGUUGAUUAAGAAUUCUCCUUAGUUUUUCCAACCACCUCAGCUUUACUUGCAGAAAUGAGAUAACAUCCUAAAGCAGAAUGGAACAGUGCCAGAAACACCAUAUGGAUUAAUAAAUCAGCACUUUCCUGACUUGAAGGACAAAAAAUCUGAGCCUGGAUAGUCAACAAAGAGAAGAGGACUUAUAAGAU